GUACCAAGGGGGGGGAGCAUGUGGUUUAAUUUGAUGCAACGGGAAGAACCUUACCUGGCCUUUACAUGUACGGAAGACAGAAGAGAUUUUGUUGUUCCUUCGGGAGCCGUAACACAGGUGGUGCAUGGCUGUUGUCAGCUUGUGUUGUGAGAUGUUGGGUUAAGUCCCGCAACGAGCGCAACCCCUGUCCUUAGUUGCCAUCAUUAAGUUGGGCACUUUAAGGAGACUGCCGGUGACAAACCGGAGGAAGGUGGGGAAGAAGUCAAGUCAUCAUGGCCCUUAUGGCCAGGGGUACACACGUGGUACAAUGGCAAGUACAAAGAGCAGCUAACUCGGGAGGGUCUGGUAAUUCCAUAAAGCCCGUCGCAUUUCGGAUUUGCAGUCUGCAACUCGACUGCGUGAAGUGGGAAUCGCUAGUAAUCGCGGAUCAAAAUGCCGCGGUGAAAC
rnacentral:rRNA from 1 species